GACGAACGCUGGCGGCGUGCUUAACACAUGCAAGUCGAACGGUGAUGCUCCAGCUUGCUGGCGUGGAUCAGUGGCGAACGGGUGAGUAACACGUGAGCAACCUGCCCCAGACUCUGGAAUAAGCGCUGGAAACGGCGUCUAAUACUGGAUACGAAACUGGCCCGCAUGGGCAUGGUUUGGAAAGUUUUUCGGUUUGGGAUGGGCUCGCGGCCUAUCAGCUUGUUGGUGAGGUAAUGGCUCACCAAGGCGACGACGGGUAGCCGGCCUGAGAGGGCGACCGGCCACACGGGGACUGAGACACGGCCCAGACUCCUACGGGAGGCAGCAGUGGGGAAUAUUGCACAAUGGGCGAAAGCCUGAUGCAGCGACGCCGCGUGAGGGAUGACGGCCUUCGGGUUGUAAACCUCUUUCAGCAGGGAAGAAGCGAAAGUGACGGUACCUGCAGAAGAAGCACCGGCUAACUACGUG
rnacentral:rRNA from 1 species